rnacentral:rRNA from 1 species
UACGAAGGGGGGCUAGCGUUGCUCGGAAUUAUUGGGCGUAAAGCGCACGUAGGCGGACCAUCAAGUCGGAUGUGAAAUCCCUCGGCUUAACCGAGGACGUGCAUUCGAUACUGAUGGCCUUGAGUACGAAAGAGGAUCGCGGAAUUCCCGGUGUAGAGGUGAAAUUCGUAGAUAUCGGGAGGAACACCAGUGGCGAAGGCGGCGAUCUGGGUCGAUACUGACGCUGAGGUGCGAAAGCGUGGGGAGCAAACAGGG